rnacentral:rRNA from 1 species
CCAAUAGCGUAUAUUAAAGUUGCUGCAGUUAAAAAGCUCGUAGUUGAAUUUCGGGACCAUCAUGUCGGUCGUGCCUCGGUACGUACUGGCAUUGUUGGUUUCUCCCUUCUGACGAACCAUGAUGUCAUUAAUUUGGUGUCUUGGGGAAUCAGGACUGUUACUUUGAAAAAAUUAGAGUGUUUAAAGCAGGCUCGCGCUUGAAUACAUUAGCAUGGAAUAAUGAAAUAGGACGUUGAUCCUAUUUUGUUGGUUUCUAGGAUUGACGUAAUGAUUAAUAGGGAUAGUUGGGGGCAUUAGUAUUCAAUUGUCAGAGGUGAAAUUCUUGGAUUUAUUGAAGACUAACUACUGCGAAAGCAUUUGCCAAGGAUGUUUUCAUUAAUCAAGAACGAAAGUUAGGGGAUCGAAGACGAUCAGAUACCGUCGUAGUCUUAACCAUAAACUAUGCCGACUAGGGAUCGGAUGAUGUUAAUUUUUUAAUGACUCAUUCGGCGCCUUACG